AAUAAGUUUUAUUCUUGCUUAUUAUGGUAGUUCACAUAAAUUUUGUUUUACAUGUAAAUUUUAGUGUAUAGUUUAUUUGAUUCUAUAAGAAGAAAGAUAAAGUUGGUAGUAUAAAAUAGGCAGUAUUUGAUUUUAUGAAUCGGGGUGACUCGGAUUUAGGAUUAAUUGUUAGUGUCGGUUAAAGUCGUGCCAGCCACCGCGGUUAUACGAAAGAUACAAGUGAACGUUAUUAGUAAAUAGUGAAAUUGUUUAAAUAUGAUUAUAGGGAUUAAAUAUAAUAUUAAUUAAGUGAAAUUUUUAAUUUGUGGAAAUUUCUUAAGUUAUGUUUUGAUAUUGAAGCUAUGAAAUUUAAAAUUUAAACUAGGAUUAGAUACCCUAUUAUUUUAAGUGUAAGUUAUUUUGUUGUUUAAAUACUUGAGUAUUAAUAGGUAUGGUCUUGAAACUCAAAGAAUUUGGCGGUAUUUUAGUCUUUUCAGAGGAACUUGCCCCGUAAUCGAUAAUCCUCGUUUUAUCUUACUUAAUUUUGUAAUCAGUAUGUAUACCGCCGUCGUCAGAAUAUCUUUUUAGAGUAAAAAUUUUCUUGAUUUUAAAUUAAAAAAGAUGUCAGGUCAAGGUGCAGUUUAUGGUUAAGAGGAGGUGAGUUACAAUAAAAAUUAUUUAUAACGGAAAGUGAUUUAAAAUUAGUUAUUGGAAGGUGGAUUUGAUAGUAAGUUGAAAUAGUAAAUUAAAUUGAUUUUAGCUCUAAAAUGUGCACACAUCGCCCGUCGCUCUCGUUAUUUAAGGUGAGAUAAGUCGUAACAUAGUAGGCGUACCGGAAGGUGCUUCUAGAAAUUU
rnacentral:ncRNA from 1 species